rnacentral:rRNA from 1 species
AGUGAACGCUGGCGGUAGGCCUAACACAUGCAAGUCGAACGGCAGCACAGUAAGAGCUUGCUCUUACGGGUGGCGAGUGGCGGACGGGUGCGGAAUACAUCGGAAUCUACUUUUUCGUGGGGGAUAGCGUAGGGAAACUUACGCUAAUACCGCAUACGACCUACGGGUGAAAGCAGGGGAUCUUCGGACCUUGCGCGAUUGAAUGAGCCGAUGUCGGAUUAGCUAGUUGGCGGGGUAAAGGCCCACCAAGGCGACGAUCCGUAGCUGGUCUGAGAGGAUGAGCAGCCACACUGGAAGUGAGACAAGGUCCAGACUCCUACGGGAGGCAGCAGUGGGGAAUAUGGGACAAUGGGCGCAAGCCUGAUCCAGCCAUACCGCGUGGGUGAAGAAGGCGUUCGGGUUGUAAAGCCCUUUUGUUGGGAAAGAAAAGCAGCAGGUUAAUACCCCGCUGUGCUGACGGUACCCAAAGAAUAAGCACCGGCUAACUUCGUG